GGGACAAGCCCUGGAAACGGGGUCUAAUACCGGAUAUGACCACCGGCCGCAUGGUCUGGUGGUGGAAAGCUCCGGCGGUGCAGGAUGAGCCCGCGGCCUAUCAGCUUGUUGGUGGGGUGAUGGCCUACCAAGGCGACGACGGGUAGCCGGCCUGAGAGGGCGACCGGCCACACUGGGACUGAGACACGGCCCAGACUCCUACGGGAGGCAGCAGUGGGGAAUAUUGCACAAUGGGCGCAAGCCUGAUGCAGCGACGCCGCGUGAGGGAUGACGGCCUUCGGGUUGUAAACCUCUUUCAGCAGGGAAGAAGCGCAAGUGACGGUACCUGCAGAAGAAGCACCGGCUAACUACGUGCCAGCAGCCGCGGUAAUACGUAGGGUGCGAGCGUUGUCCGGAAUUAUUGGGCGUAAAGAGCUCGUAGGCGGCCUGUCGCGUCGGAUGUGAAAGCCCGGGGCUUAACCCCGGGUCUGCAUUCGAUACGGGCAGGCUAGAGUUCGGCAGGGGAGAUUGGAAUUCCUGGUGUAGCGGUGAAAUGCGCAGAUAUCAGGAGGAACACCGGUGGCGAAGGCGGAUCUCUGGGCCGAUACUGACGCUGAGGAGCGAAAGC
rnacentral:rRNA from 1 species